rnacentral:rRNA from 1 species
GUGAGAAUGUUGGCAUGAGUAGCGAGAUGUGGGUGAGAAUCCCACAGGCCGUAAACCCAAGGUUUCCAGGGGAAGGUUCGUCCGCCCUGGGUUAGUCGGGACCUAAGCUGAGGCCGAAAGGCGUAGGUGAUGGACAACAGGUUGAUAUUCCUGUACUACCGAUAACCGUUUGAGAGAAGGGAUGACACAGUAGGAUAAGCUAAGCACACUGUUGGUUAUGUGUGCCCAAGCAUUGAGGCAGUCAAAGUAGGCAAAUCCGCUUUGAUAAUGCUGGGAUGUGAUGGGGAGCGAAAUUUAGUAGCGAAGUAGCUGAUUUCACACUGUCAAGAAAAGUCUCUAUCGAGGUUAAAGGUACCCGUACCGCAAACCGACACAGGUGGGUGAGGAGAGUAUCCUAAGGCCAGCGAGAGAACUGUUGUUAAGGAACUCGGCAAAAUGACCCCGUAACUUAGGGAUAAGGGGUGCCACCAUCAGGUGGCCGCAGAGAAUAGGCCCAAGCGACUGUUUACCAAAAACAUAGGUUUCUGCUAAGUCGCAAGACGAUGUAUAGGAGCUGACGCCUGCCCGGUGCUGGAAGGUUAAGGGGAUCUGUUAGAGCAAUCGAAGCAGUGAACUUAAGCC